AUUGAACGCUGGCGGCAGGCCUAACACAUGCAAGUCGAGCGGAUGAAGGGAGCUUGCUCCUGGAUUCAGCAGCGGACGGGGGAGUAAUGCCUAGGAAUCUGCCUGGUAGUGGGGGAUAACGUCCGGAAACGGGCGCUAAUACCGCAUACGUCCUGAGGGAGAAAGUGGGGGAUCUUCGGACCUCACGCUAUCAGAUGAGCCUAGGUCGGAUUAGCUAGUUGGUGGGGUAAAGGCCUACCAAGGCGACGAUCCGUAACUGGUCUGAGAGGAUGAUCAGUCACACUGGAACUGAGACACGGUCCAGACUCCUACGGGAGGCAGCAGUGGGGAAUAUUGGACAAAGGGCGAAAGCCUGAUCCAGCCAUGCCGCGUGUGUGAAGAAGGUCUUCGGAUUGUAAAGCACUUUAAGUUGGGAGGAAGGGCAGUAAGUUAAUACCUUGCUGUUUUGACGUUACCAACAGAAUAAGCACCGGCUAACUUCGUG
rnacentral:rRNA from 1 species